rnacentral:rRNA from 1 species
AGAGUUUGAUCAUGGCUCAGAAUGAACGCUGGCGGCGUGCUUAACACAUGCAAGUCGCACGAGAACGCUUCAGCUUGCUGAAGCUAGUAAAGUGGCGUACGGGUGAGUAACGCGUGGGUAAUCAACCUCUGAAUUGGGGAUAACAUUGCGAAAGCGAUGCUAAUACCGGAUAAUAUCCAUUGAACCUUGGUUUUUUGGAUCAAAGGUGGCCUCUACAUGUAAGCUACUGUUUGGAGACGAGCCCGCGUACCAUUAGCUUGUUGGUAGGGUAAUGGCCUACCAAGGCAACGAUGGUUAGCUGGUCUGAGAGGAUGAUCAGCCACACUGGAACUGACACACGGUCCAGACUCCUACGGGAGGCAGCAGUGAGGAAUUUUGCGCAAUGGGGGAAACCCUGACGCAGCAACGCCGCGUGAGUGAUGAAGGCUUUCGGGUCGUAAAGCUCUGUCAAGUGGGAAGAACCCGUGCCGCACAAAUAGUGCGGUGCGCUGACGGUACCACUGAAGGAAGCACCGGCUAACUCCGUGCCAGCAGCCGCGGUAAUACGGGGGGUGCAAGCGUUAUUCGGAAUCAUUGGGCGUAAAGAGCGCGUAGGCGGUCUUCUAUGUCAGGUGUGAAAGCCCUGGGCUCAACCCGGGAAGUGCACUUGAAACUGGGAGACUUGAGUAUGGGAGAGGGAAGUGGAAUUCCUGGUGUAGCGGUGAAAUGCGUAGAUAUCAGGAGGAACACCGGUGGCGAAGGCGACUUCCUGGACCAAUACUGACGCUGAGGCGCGAAGGCGUGGGGAGCAAACAGGAUUAGAUACCCUAGUAGUCC